AGUGGCGGACGGGUGAGUAACGCGUAGGAAUCUACCUGAUAGUGGGGGAUAGCCCGAAGAAAUUCGGAUUAAUACCGCAUAAUCUAUUCGUAGUAAAGUGGGGGACUUUCGAGCCUCACGCUAUCAGAUGAGCCUGCGUAAGAUUAGCUAGUUGGUAGGGUAAAAGCCUACCAAGGCUACGAUCUUUAGCUGGUCUGAGAGGAUGAUCAGCCACAUCGGGACUGAGACACGGCCCGAACUCCUACGGGAGGCAGCAGUGGGGAAUAUUGGACAAUGGGGGCAACCCUGAUCCAGCAAUACCGCGUGUGUGAAGAAGGCCUGAGGGUUGUAAAGCACUUUCAAUUGUGAAGAAAAGCUAGUGGUUAAUAGCCAUUAGCCUUGACGUUAACUUUAGAAGAAGCACCGGCUAACUCCGUGCCAGCAGCCGCGGUAAUACGGAGGGUGCAAGCGUUAAUCGGAAUUACUGGGCGUAGAGCGUGCGUAGGCGGUUUAUUAAGUCAGAUGUGAAAGCCCCGGGCUUAACCUGGGAACUGCAUUUGAAACUGGUCAACUAGAGUAUGGUAGAGGAAAGUGGAAUUUCUGGUGUAGCGGUGAAAUGCGUAGAUAUCAGAAGGAACAUCAAUGGCGACGGCACUUUCUGAACAUUACUGACGCUGAGUACGAAAGCGUGGGGUAGCCAAAACCAGGGAACU
rnacentral:rRNA from 1 species